rnacentral:tRNA from 1 species
GGCGGCAUGCCCGAGCGGUUAGGGAGCGGAUUGCAAAUCCGUGUAGCCCGGUUCGACUCCGGGUGCCGCCU